GAUGAACGCUAGCUACAGGCUUAACACAUGCAAGUCGAGGGGCAUCAGGAAGAAAGCUUGCUUUCUUUGCUGGCGACCGGCGCACGGGUGAGUAACACGUAUCCAACCUGCCCUUUACUCGGGGAUAGCCUUUCGAAAGAAAGAUUAAUACCCGAUGGCAUAAUGAUUCCGCGUGGUUUCAUUAUUAAAGGAUUCCGGUAAAGGAUGGGGAUGCGUUCCAUUAGGUUGUUGGUGAGGUAACGGCUCACCAAGCCUUCGAUGGAUAGGGGUUCUGAGAGGAAGGUCCCCCACAUUGGAACUGAGACACGGUCCAAACUCCUACGGGAGGCAGCAGUGAGGAAUAUUGGUCAAUGGGCGCUAGCCUGAACCAGCCAAGUAGCGUGAAGGAUGAAGGCUCUAUGGGUCGUAAACUUCUUUUAUAUAAGAAUAAAGUGCAGUAUGUAUACUGUUUUGUAUGUAUUAUAUGAAUAAGGAUCGGCUAACUCCGUGCCAGCAGCCGCGGUAAUACGGAGGAUCCGAGCGUUAUCCGGAUUUAUUGGGUUUAAAGGGAGCGUAGGUGGACUGGUAAGUCAGUUGUGAAAGUUUGCGGCUCAACCGUAAAAUUGCAGUUGAUACUGUCAGUCUUGAGUACAGUAGAGGUGGGCGGAAUUCGUGGUGUAGCGGUGAAAUGCUUAGAUAUCACGAAGAACUCCGAUUGCGAAGGCAGCUCACUGGACUGCAACUGACACUGAUGCUCGAAAGUGUGGGUAUCAAACCAGG
rnacentral:rRNA from 1 species